UGGGGGUCUACUUUGAGUCAUUGGAUGAAGACAAGUGGGUCAUCCAUCAAAUAUUGAACUCACAGGAAAACUAUAUUAGGGAUGCCAUUGGAUGUCCGUUGCUUUCCUCCGACAGUAUGUCACCCCAUACAGAUCAUAUGGAAGGAAUCGAUUAUAGGUUGU